AUUGAACGCUGGCGGCAUGCUUUACACAUGCAAGUCGAACGAGUGGCGAACGGGUGAGUAACGCAUCGGCACGUACCGAGUAAUGGGGGAUAACUGUCCGAAAGGACAGCUAAUACCGCAUAUUCUUCUAUCGGCCGGUGUCUGAUUAGCGGGUGGGCGGGGUAAAGGCCCACCAGGGAGACGAUCAGUAGCGGGUCUGAGAGGAUGAUCCGCCACACUGGGACUGAUACACGGCCCAGACUCCUACGGGAGGCAGCAGUGGGGAAUGUUGGACAAUGGGCGAAAGCCUGAUCGAGCCAUGCCGCGUGUCUGAAGAAGGCCUUCGGGUUGUAAAGGACUUUUGUCAGGGAAGCGGUACCUCAAGAAUAAGCACCGGCUAACUACGUGCCAGCAGCCGCGGUAAUUC
rnacentral:rRNA from 1 species